rfam:Paenisporosarcina sp. HGH0030 genomic scaffold acAqH-supercont1.1, whole genome shotgun sequence.
AACAUAAGAACGAAGACUAAGUACGCACUUCGUGUGGCAACGCCUUCGUGACCAACAUCCUGUUGG